rnacentral:lncRNA from 11 species
CCGGGCUGAGACGGGGGCGUUUUUGUCCGGGGAAGCUUUAACGCUGGGUGAGCAGGGAGAAAAGGCAGAGCCCAGGAGCCUUUGUGAUGCCAUGAACUUGUGGGGCUGAGGAUGGGGUUCAGGGGGACUGCCACUCCCAGAAUCCCCCCGCCAAAGGCAGUCCGAGCAAGCCCUGGGUCCCAACCACGGCUGUUGGACCAAAGUUUAUUUAAACAGCCCAAAGGCUCCAGAUGAGCGGGUGUGAAGGAGAUGUCUCCCCCCGGUUGCCUCCUGCCACGGGCCACUGCCAAACCAAACAAGUCCGGGGGGAGAAGAAGCCGGAGACAGGAAAUUGGAAGUGCCCUGUGUGUGUCUGCCUUUGUGCGCGCCUUGUGUUUUUGUCUGACGCCAAGUUUCCCCUGAGUGCGUCCAUUUGGACUCCGUCUAGCCUGGCAGGCUCCAGAAACCAGAAAACCUCCAAAAAAGCCUGGCCCGAGGAGGAAGAGAGAGGAAGCCUCCUUCCUUUUGCACCUUUUUGGAGAAGAAAGACUCCAUGUGUCCUAAAAAGCGCCGGGAUUGCAGGUGAAACACCUCCACCAGGUAACCUGCUCACCGAAGAGUCAACUUGCCAGAUGGUUCCAGCCGAGUGGACUUUGCCUUCUGUAUUCCUCUUAUGGUGCCGUCACCUGAUAACAGCGGGCUCCUAUUGAAAACAACCAGAAAAGUGGAGGACAUG